rnacentral:lncRNA from 1 species
CUUUCUUAGAAUAACUUUGUACGAAAAGAACAACAUGGACAACCUUAGUUGCUAGGAAUAGAUUCAUUAUGAAGUAGCGCAUCGUUUAUGUUCGUCUCAAUUUAGAUCAUGUCAAAAGAAAUACAGAAGUGCCUUAACAUACCUUAACCAUGGUGAGUCCUUAAUACCUCUCAAGCAACUCUUCAAACAACUCAAAUCAAUCUACCAUGGAAUAACGAGAUUCAAAAUCAGUGUUGAAUAAAGGCUAAGUUUGCAACUUAAACUUGUAGCUUGUUUAUAUAAAUUCGGGCAGCAUCUCUCCUGUAAUAAGAGCCUAUUCCAAAACCAUAUACCAACAAAAAUCACCAGAGAAAUCCAGCAAUACAUAAUUAUGAAUAACAAGACACCAUAAAACAAGAAGAAGUCAUAACUAUUUUACAACGAGCACAUCAUCUCCCUGUAAAAGAGCCUUAUCCAAUACCAUAUACCAACAACAAUUACCAGAGAAAUCCAGCAAUACAUAAUUGUCAAUAACAAGACACCAUAAAAUAACAACAAGUCGUAAUUAUUUGACGACGAGCGACAAGCUCCAAUUGGAAUUUGUAUACUCCAUAUCACCCUUAUAGACGUUUUACUUUAGCUUAAUAGCAUCAUUAACAUGAUAAUGAAUUCAUUCAUCAAUAAUUCCAGCCUUAUACCAUAUAUCCAUAACAAAUAAAAUGAUCCACAACUCCAAUUAUUCUUAAUUAGUAACUUUAUUCACUAGUUCAGGUCUAGUUCAUGUCUAGUUCAUCCAUUCAACUUAACCAAUGCCAAGAUAACCUUUAGAACCUAUAGGAACACAAUAUAUUUACCUCAUACAGUAUAUGCAAGUCGACACCCAUAUUAUAUUUAGCUUAUAACAGCCCAAACACACCCUAAUCAACUCAUACCAAAACGACAACUAUAGUAGUGUCCAACACCCCUAAAAUAUUAUAAAGAAUGACUAAUCCAUCAUUUCACCAUUAUGUGGUGUUUGUCCACACCAUUUAUACUCCAAAAACUCCAUUAAAUAUCAGUACAAUAUACAGCCCAAAAUCUACACGAAACAACCCACAAAACAGUCAAUUUCAAAUCAAAUAACUCGAACUCACGGCUUUCGAUCACCGUCACGUGAGUUCUAACUAUUAUGAAAUCAAUUAAUCAACCUUCACUGAUAUUUAAGAUCUUAAAACCAGAAAUUUAAUAAUUUUCUUAACUAUUAAAUACCUUCCAAAACUCAAACUAUAAAGAAAGAGAGAGGCUAUAUAGGAUACUUACGUCGUGGGGAUCGUUCUUGUGUUAUUGCUUCGUGAUUUCGUGCCCCAGAUGAUAAUAUUGUUGAAAAUCCUUGUGAGAAAGCUUGAGGGGAAUUUUAGGGGAAGUUUAUGGGUCUUAUUUGGUUGAAC